AGUGAACGCUGGCGGUAGGCCUAACACAUGCAAGUCGAACGGCAGCACAGUAAGAGCUUGCUCUUACGGGUGGCGAGUGGCGGACGGGUGAGGAAUACAUCGGAAUCUACUUUUUCGUGGGGGAUAACGUAGGGAAACUUACGCUAAUACCGCAUACGACCUACGGGUGAAAGCAGGGGAUCUUCGGACCUUGCGCGAUUGAAUGAGCCGAUGUCGGAUUAGCCAGUUGGCGGGGUAAAGGCCCACCAAGGCGACGAUCCGUAGCUGGUCUGAGAGGAUGAUCAGCCACACUGGAACUGAGACACGGUCCAGACUCCUACGGGAGGCAGCAGUGGGGAAUAUUGGACAAUGGGCGCAAGCCUGAUCCAGCCAUACCGCGUGGGUGAAGAAGGCCUUCGGGUUGUAAAGCCCUUUUGUUGGGAAAGAAAAGCAGCAGGUUAAUACCCCGCUGUUCUGACGGUACCCAAAGAACAAGCACCGGCUAACUUCGUG
rnacentral:rRNA from 1 species